CAAAACUGAAGAGUCUCUUGUGGAUCUACCUCUCUCUGGAGGCACAGGUGCUAAACGGGGUAUUAAAGGACCAUGAAGAUUUUCUCCAUCUCUUGUUGAUUAACAGGUGAGCAAUGGAUGAACACCCAGGCCAGACUUGAUGCUGCGGUCUCUCUCACCCACUGGAGUCCGCCCACGACCAAGCUCCGCUGUUUCUGUCUCCUUGGUAUCACAGAGAGCCGUGAUGGUAACAGCUCCCCCCAGUCCCAAGCCCUGGAUUCUACCCUGCAUGGUCCUGACGGCUUGUUCCAUCCACACCAAUCUUCCCUCUUGCCUUGGAAUAACCUUGGAACCUUCUGGGACUCCUUUCCUGCUCAUAGAAGUUUCUUUGGGACUCAUAGUGCCUGAGGAGGGACCAUGUCAUUUCCCCAAGGAUCCAACUGCUUUCAGCACCCCACCUCACUCAGGGCCAUGCAGUUCUCCUGCAUCAGUUAAGCUACUUGGAGGCCCCUAG
rnacentral:lncRNA from 1 species